rnacentral:rRNA from 1 species
GAUGAACGCUGGCGGCGUGCCUAAUACAUGCAAGUCGAGCGAACAGACGAGGAGCUUGCUCCUCUGACGUUAGCGGCGGACGGGUGAGUAACACGUGGAUAACCUACCUAUAAGACUGGGAUAACUUCGGGAAACCGGAGCUAAUACCGGAUAAUAUAUUGAACCGCAUGGUUCAAUAGUGAAAGACGGUUUUGCUGUCACUUAUAGAUGGAUCCGCGCCGCAUUAGCUAGUUGGUAAGGUAACGGCUUACCAAGGCAACGAUGCGUAGCCGACCUGAGAGGGGGAUCGGCCACACGGGAAAUGAGACACGGUCCAAACCCCCACGGGGGGCAGGAGGAGGGAAUCUUCCGAAAGGGGCGAAAGCCUGACGGAGCAACGCCGCGUGGGUGAUGAAGGUCUGCGGAUCGUAAAACUCUUUUUUUGGGGAAAAAAAAAUGUGUAAGUAACUAUGCAGGUCUGGACGGUACCAAAUCAAAAAGCCCCGGCUAAAUCCGG